rnacentral:tRNA from 1 species
GGGUCCGUAGCUUAACACGGUAGAGCAACCGGCUCUUAACCGGUGGGUUGAGGGUUCAAAUCCCUCCGGGCCCA